GCUGGGCAGUGGUGUGUGCCUGUAAUCCCAGGUACUUGGGAGGCUGAGGCAGGAGGAUCACAGGAGGUCAGCCUGGGAAACUUAGGAAGGUCCUGUCUCAG
rnacentral:sRNA from 1 species